rnacentral:rRNA from 1 species
GAAUUCGCCCUUAGAGUUUGAUCCUGGCUCAGGACGAACGCUGGCGGCGUGCCUAAUACAUGCAAGUCGAGCGGAGAUUGCUUGGAAGGAUUUAUCUGGAAAAGCAAUUUUAGCGGCGGACGGGUGAGUAACGCGUGAGCAAUCUGGCCUUUACAGGGGGAUAACACAGGGAAACUUGUACUAAUACCGCAUAUUAUUAUUUAAUCGCAUGAUUGAGUGAUGAAAGUGGAAACACGGUAAAGGGGGAGCUCGCGUUCUAUUAGAUAGUUGGUGGGGUAACGGCCUACCAAGUCAACGAUAGAUAGCCGACUUGAGAGAGUGAACGGCCACACUGGAACUGAGACACGGUCCAGACUCCUACGGGAGGCAGCAGUGGGGAAUAUUGCACAAUGGAGGAAACUCUGAUGCAGCGACGCCGCGUGAGCGAAGAAGGCCUUCGGGUUGUAAAGCUCUGUCCUUGGUGAGGAUAAUGACGGUAGCCAAGGAGGAAGCCCCGGCUAACUACGUGCCAGCAGCCGCGGUAAUACGUAGGGGGCGAGCGUUGUCCGGAAUUAUUGGGCGUAAAGGGUACGUAGGCGGUUUUUAAAGUCAGCAGUUAAGGCGCGGGGCUCAACCCCGUAAAGCUGUGAAACUGAAAAACUUGAAAGAAGGAAAGAAGAGUGAAUUCCCAGUGGAGCGGGGGAAUGCAUAAAAAUAAGAAGGAAUACCGGGGGGAAAGGCCAAUUUUCUGGAAUUCAACUGACGCUGAGGUACAAAAGCGGGGGGGAGAAAAAG